rnacentral:lncRNA from 1 species
GCAAGGUGAUUCCACUUUGAGGGCUCUCUCAUUCUCUCUUAGUUCUCACUCUCCGACCUUGCGAGCCGAGCGACUCAACCCUUCCCACCAUGCUGCGCCAAGCCACACGCCUCCUGGCUCGACCUGCCAUCGCCUCCUCCUCCUCCUUCGCCGCCAGGGCUCGCUCCUUCUCCACCGAUCUCCCCACCGCUCCGGCUGAAGAUUCCACCUUCAUCGAUGCCUGGAAGAAAAUCAUUCCAAAUAUUGACCCACCCGCAACCCCUCUCACUUUCAUGCAACCUCGACCACAGACUCCCUCUUCCAUUCCUUCUAAGCUCACGGUCAACUUCGUUCUUCCUUAUGCCUCUGAGCUCUCCGCCAAGGAGGUCAGUCCCAGUGAACCCGAACCCCCUUUCUGAUUUGGGAUUUACUUGGAUUUGUCGUUGAUUGGUUGUUUUAGGGUUUGGCUUUGUUUGAUCUGAUUGUGGGUGGCAUUUGUUCUGGUGGGGAAUUUGGUUUUUGUUGUAGAUUUGAUGAUUCCGAAAACAAUUUUAGGUUUUUAUGUGAAAACCCCAUUUUCCCCAAAUGGGUGAUUAGGGUUGUGCAUUAUUCACAUUUAUGAGAAAUCUCUGUAAAAUUUUAGGUUCGGGACUAAGAAAUGCUAUAUAUCGUGAGAGAUUAUUUUGCAAAUAUUUAAAUACUACGCG